UCUGAAUAUGGGGGGACCAUCCUCCAAGGCUAAAUACUCCUGACUGACCGAUAGUGAACCAGUACCGUGAGGGAAAGGCGAAAAGAACCCCGGCGAGGGGAGUGAAAAAGAACCUGAAACCGUGUACGUACAAGCAGUGGGAGCCUCUUUAUGGGGUGACUGCGUACCUUUUGUAUAAUGGGUCAGCGACUUAUAUUCUGUAGCAAGGUUAACCGUAUAGGGGAGCCGAAGGGAAACCGAGUCUUAACUGGGCGUUAAGUUGCAGGGUAUAGACCCGAAACCCGGUGAUCUAGCCAUGGGCAGGUUGAAGGUUGGGUAACACUAACUGGAGGACCGAACCGACUAAUGUUGAAAAAUUAGCGGAUGACUUGUGGCUGGGGGUGAAAGGCCAAUCAAACCGGGAGAUAGCUGGUUCUCCCCGAAAGCUAUUUAGGUAGCGCCUCGUGAACUCAUCUUCGGGGGUAGAGCACUGUUUCGGCUAGGGGGCCAUCCCGGCUUACCAACCCGAUGCAAACUACGAAUACCGAAGAAUGUUAUCACGGGAGACACACGGCGGGUGCUAACGUCCGUCGUGAAGAGGGAAACAACCCAGACCGCCAGCUAAGGUCCCAAAGUCAUGGUUAAGUGGGAAACGAUGUGGGAAGGCACAGACAGCCAGGAUGUUGGCUUAGAAGCAGCCAUCAUUUAAAGAAAGCGUAAUAGCUCACUGGUCGAGUCGGCCUGCGCGGAAGAUGUAACGGGGCUAAACCAUGCACCGAAGCUGCGGCAGCGACACUAUGUGUUGUUGGGUAGGGGAGCGUUCUGUAAGCCGUUGAAGGUGGCCUGUGAGGGUUGCUGGAGGUAUCAGAAGUGCGAAUGCUGACAUAAGUAACGAUAAUGCGGGUGAAAAACCCGCACGCCGGAAGACCAAGGGUUCCUGUCCAACGUUAAUCGGGGCAGGGUGAGUCGACCCCUAAGGCGAGGCCGAAAGGCGUAGUCGAUGGGAAACAGGUUAAUAUUCCUGUACUUGGUGUUACUGCGAAGGGGGGACGGAGAAGGCUAUGUCAGCCGGGCGACGGUUGUCCCGGUUUAAGCAUGUAGGCGGAGGUUCCAGGUAAAUCCGGUACCUUUUUAACGCUGAGGUGUGAUGACGAGGCACUACGGUGCUGAAGUAACAAAUGCCCUGCUUCCAGGAAAAGCCUCUAAGCAUCAGGUAACACGAAAUCGUACCCCAAACCGACACAGGUGGUCAGGUAGAGAAUACCAAGGCGCUUGAGAGAACUCGGGUGAAGGAACUAGGCAAAAUGGUGCCGUAACUUCGGGAGAAGGCACGCUGAUAUGUAGGUGAAGUGAUUUACUCAUGGAGCUGAAAUCAGUCGAAGAUACCAGCUGGCUGCAACUGUUUAUUAAAAACACAGCACUGUGCAAACACGAAAGUGGACGUAUACGGUGUGACGCCUGCCCGGUGCCGGAAGGUUAAUUGAUGGGGUUAUCCGUAAGGAGAAGCUCUUGAUCGAAGCCCCGGUAAACGGCGGCCGUAACUAUAACGGUCCUAAGGUAGCGAAAUUCCUUGUCGGGUAAGUUCCGACCUGCACGAAUGGCGUAAUGAUGGCCAGGCUGUCUCCACCCGAGACUCAGUGAAAUUGAACUCGCUGUGAAGAUGCAGUGUACCCGCGGCAAGACGGAAAGACCCCGUGAACCUUUACUAUAGCUUGACACUGAACACUGGUCCUUGAUGUGUAGGAUAGGUGGGAGGCUUUGAAGUGUGGACGCCAGUCUGCAUGGAGCCAUCCUUGAAAUACCACCCUUUAAUGGCUGGUGUUCUAACGUGGACCCGUAAUCCGGGUUGCGGACAGUGUCUGGUGGGUAGUUUGACUGGGGCGGUCUCCUCCUAAAGAGUAACGGAGGAGCACGAAGGUUAGCUAAUCCUGGUCGGACAUCAGGAGGUUAGUGCAAAGGCAUAAGCUAGCUUGACUGCGAGAGUGACGGCUCGAGCAGGUGCGAAAGCAGGUCUUAGUGAUCCGGUGGUUCUGAAUGGAAGGGCCAUCGCUCAACGGAUAAAAGGUACUCCGGGGAUAACAGGCUGAUACCGCCCAAGAGUUCAUAUCGACGGCGGUGUUUGGCACCUCGAUGUCGGCUCAUCACAUCCUGGGGCUGAAGUAGGUCCCAAGGGUAUGGCUGUUCGCCAUUUAAAGUGGUACGCGAGCUGGGUUUAGAACGUCGUGAGACAGUUCGGUCCCUAUCUGCCGUGGGCGCUGGAGAAUUGAGGGGGGCUGCUCCUAGUACGAGAGGACCGGAGUGGACGCAUCACUGGUGUUCGGGUUGUCAUGCCAAUGGCAUUGCCCGGUAGCUAAAUGCGGAAGAGAUAAGUGCUGAAAGCAUCUAAGCACGAAACUUGCCCCGAGAUGAGUUCUCCCUGAGACUUUAAGUCUCCUGAAGGAACGUUGAAGACGACGACGUUGAUAGGUCGGGUGUGUAAGCGCAGCGAUGCGUUGAGCUAACCGAUACUAAUGAACCGUGAGGCUUAACC
rnacentral:rRNA from 1 species